UUGUAUCACAAAGUAAGACGAGAUCACACAAGUGUUGACAAAUAAGAUCACAAAGGUUGGCCUCCACAUAACACAAAACUGAGGUGAGCAUCAUGGGAUCUAGCAGCAACAACACCUAACCUACUAGAUGGACACUGCGGUCCAGACCCAACUCCACAAGCUUAGGUGAGCAUCAUGGGAUCUAGCAGCAACAACAACUACAUACUAAUUUGCGACCGCGACGGUGAUGCAACCACCACAACCAAAAUUAAAAAGGUAAGGGAGGUGGGUGGUACAGGUUGUUGUCUCCACGCCGCCUGUGUUUGCCAUCUCUAAAUGCCAAAAGGUCCAGGUUGUGGUCAUCAGCCUUCUUCAUGCCAUCAGCAUGAUCACCAUUGCCUUCCGCACCCCGUCAUCAUCAGGCUGAUUUGCUGCUGCCGCUCGUCCUCCUACUCCAUCUGCAUGGACAAGAGCAAGUUAGUUGAAUGGCAUGCACGAUAAAACUGCAAGGCAUAUAUACUCAUCUACAUUAAUUGUACUACAGUACAUAUUUUGCAUGGAUGGGUUUGACUUCAACAGAGACUGAAGGAAGAGCAUUUUCCCCUCCCAAUCCAAAACCUGCUGUACAAGUACAGCUCUAAGAGAAGGAACUGUGGUACAACAAGAGGCGCUCCAAAUCAAACUAAAUCUCAGUUUCUUUAUUUACCUAAGAAACAGCACAACCAUAACUUCUGCCAAGCAAGCAGUUAUCAUACUAUCAGCUAAAAGAAAAACAAAGGAAGAUCACGUGUCACUUUCAUGGAAAAC
rnacentral:lncRNA from 1 species